GAACGAGAGAAGAGGAGCUUGCUUUUCUGAUCUAGUGGCGGACGGGUGAGUAACACGUGAGCAAUCUGCCUUUCAGAGGGGGAUACCGAUUGGAAACGAUCGUUAAUACCGCAUAACAUAAUUGAACCGCAUGAUUUGAUUAUCAAAGAUUUAUCGCUGAAAGAUGAGCUCGCGUCUGAUUAGCUAGUUGGUAAGGUAACGGCUUACCAAGGCGACGAUCAGUAGCCGGACUGAGAGGUUGAUCGGCCACAUUGGGACUGAGACACGGCCCAGACUCCUACGGGAGGCAGCAGUAGGGAAUAUUGCACAAUGGAGGAAACUCUGAUGCAGCGAUGCCGCGUGAGGGAAGAAGGUUUUAGGAUUGUAAACCUCUGUCUUCAGGGACGAAAAAAGACGGUACCUGAGGAGGAAGCUCCGGCUAACUACGUGCCAGCAGCCGCGGUAAUACGUAGGGAGCGAGCGUUGUCCGGAAUUACUGGGUGUAAAGGGAGCGUAGGCGGGAUCGCAAGUCAGAUGUGAAAACUAUGGGCUUAACCCAUAAACUGCAUUUGAAACUGUGGUUCUUGAGUGAAGUAGAGGUAAGCGGAAUUCCUAGUGUAGCGGUGAAAUGCGUAGAUAUUAGGAGGAACAUCAGUGGCGAAGGCGGCUUACUGGGCUUUAACUGACGCUGAGGCUCGAAAGCGUGGGGAGCAAACAGGAUUAGAUACCCUGGUAGUCCACGCCGUAAACGAUGAUUACUAGGUGUGGGGGGACUGACCCCUUCCGUGCCGCAGCAAACGCAAUAAGUAAUCCACCUGGGGAGUACGACCGCAAGGUUGAAACUCAAAGGAAUUGACGGGGGCCCGCACAAGCAGUGGAGUAUGUGGAUUAAUUCGAAGCAACGCGAAGAACCUUACCAGGUCUUGACAUCGUAUGCAUAGCUCAGAGAUGAGUGAAAUCUCUUCGGAGACAUAUAGACAGGUGGUGCAUGGUUGUCGUCAGCUCGUGUCGUGAGAUGUUGGGUUAAGUCCCGCAACGAGCGCAACCCUUACUGUUAGUUGCUACGCAAGAGCACUCUAGCAGGACUGCCGUUGACAAAACGGAGGAAGGUGGGGAUGACGUCAAAUCAUCAUGCCCCUUAUGACCUGGGCCUCACACGUACUACAAUGGCUGUCAACAGAGGGAUGCAAAGCCGCGAGGUGGAGCGAACCCCUAAAAGCAGUCUUAGUUCGGAUUGUAGGCUGCAACCCGCCUACAUGAAGUCGGAAUUGCUAGUAAUCGCAGAUCAGCAUGCUGCGGUGAAUACGUUCCCGG
rnacentral:rRNA from 1 species